rnacentral:rRNA from 1 species
CCUACGGGUGGCAGCAGUGGGGAAUAUUGGACAAUGGGGGGAACCCUGAUCCAGCGACGCCGCGUGAGUGAAGAAGUAUUUCGGUAUGUAAAGCUCUAUCAGCAGGGAAGAAAGAAAUGACGGUACCUGACUAAAAAGCCCCGGCUAACUACGUGCCAGCAGCCGCGGUAAUACGUAGGGGGCACGCGUUAUCCGGAUUUACUGGGAGUAAAGGGAGCGUAGACGGUUACGCAAGUCUGGAGUGAAAGGGGGGGGCCCAACCCCCGGACUGCUUUGGAAACUGUAUAGCUGGAGUGCAGGAGAGGUAAGUGGAAUGCCUAGUGGAGCGGUGAAAUGCGUAGAUAUUAGGAGGAACAC